rnacentral:sRNA from 1 species
CCUGAACUGGGUUAGGUGCCGCUGUUGCUGCUCGUGUUGAAUCUAGAACCGUAGCCAGACAUGGGACUGGAGGACGAGCAAAAGAUGCUUACCGAAUCCGGAGAUCCUGAGGAGGAGGAAGAGGAAGAGGAGGAAUUAGUGGUAAGAACUGUCUCAGGUUUGGAAACAUCUCAGUAAAAGCAGGGUUUGCGCUUCAUGAAAUUCUAAGGGCAUUUUAAGGAGUCUUUACUUGAUACCUUGUAGAUAAUGGGGGUGGAAUAAGCUUUGAUACUUCCUGUGCAGUGGAGAGUUUAGGGUGUGAGCCUUGGAAGCUGAGUCUAUUCUGGGUUUGGGGCUUCUUCAGUUGUGGUACCAGGGAGCAGAUGGCAUCUUGAGGGCCUGGCACUCAAUCAUCUGCUAUUUGUGGUUUAAUAAAGAACUUUGGACUAGGCAUGGUGGCUCGUGCCUGUAGUCCCGGCACUUUGGGAGGCCAAGGCAGGUGGAUUACCUGAGGUUGGGAGUUCAAGACCAGCCUGAACAACGUAGAGAAACCCCAUCUCUACUAAAAUACAAAAUUAGCUGGGCGUGGUGGCACAUGCCUGUAAUCCCAGCUACUCGAGAGGCUGAGGCAGGAGAAUUGCUCAAACCCGAGAGGUGGAGGUUGUGGUGAGCUGAGAUUGCGCCAUUGCACUCCAGCCUGGGCAACAAGAGCAAAACUCCGUCUUAAA